UUCUACAGCUAGAAGAUCAAAUCAGAUUAAAAAUCCACAAACCAAAUUUUCUGGAGACAAUGAUGCACUCACCCUGAUGGCGGGGCAGUUUGAAGAAGGGAAAAUGAUUGAACUGAAUAGAAACAAUUAUCCACAAGACUUUUAUGAAGAAGGAAAAGAACUUUCCCUCUGUUUCAUUGCAAACUUCAGAAACCAUCGUCUGCCCUGGAGGGGUUUGUCCGAAUGAUUGGAAGUCAUGGUCCCUUCAUCCCUGGCCUGAAGAUGCUGAGGUCCCAGCAUAACUUUCACCAACCUGAGGACAAAGGUAGCACCCAGGAGACAUUCAGAAACGCUGCGAGGAAAAGUACAUUCAUGGAAUGAAUGUCACGGACGACCAGAUUUGAAGUUUGACAAACUUAUCGAAGGAAGAGGACAGGAGAAGCGGGACAACGCAGAAGGAUAUACUCUCCUUGCUUUCCUGGAUUCCCAUUUGUGAUAGAGAAUCAUUUACAGUUUUGUAAUGAAAUGUACUCCCACAACUCUUAUGUAUUAAAUUUAAAUAUUUAAUAAACCUCUUUUACCUCUAAAA